rnacentral:rRNA from 1 species
AGGACGAACGCUGGCGGCGUGCUUAACACAUGCAAGUCGAGCGGUGAUCCUCCUUCGGGAGGUGAUCAGCGGCGAACGGGGUGAGUAACACGUGGGCAACCUGCCCCUCACACUGGGAUAAACCUCGGGAAACCGGGGCUAAUACCGGAUACGACCUCGAGCGGCAUCUCUUGAGGUGGAAAGCUCCGACGGUGAGGGAUGGGCCCGCGGCCUAUCAGCUUGUUGGUGGGGUAAUGGCCUACCAAGGCGACGACGGGUA